rnacentral:rRNA from 1 species
GACAGAGGGUGCAAACGUUGUUCGGAAUUACUGGGCGUAAAGCGUGUGUAGGCGGUCUGCUAAGUCGGGUGUGAAAGCCCCGGGCUCAACCCGGGAAGUGCACUCGAAACUGGCAGGCUAGAGUAUCGGAGAGGUUGGUGGAAUUCUCGGUGUAGAGGUGAAAUUCGUAGAUAUCGAGAGGAACACCGGUGGCGAAGGCGGCCAACUGGACGAAUACUGACGCUGAGACUCGAAAGCGUGGGGAGCAAACAAG